rnacentral:rRNA from 1 species
CCGGCGAUUUCCGAAUGGGGAAACCCAGUGUGAUUCGUCACACUAUCAUUAACUGAAUCCAUAGGUUAAUGAGGCGAACCGGGGGAACUGAAACAUCUAAGUACCCCGAGGAAAAGAAAUCAACCGAGAUUCCCCCAGUAGCGGCGAGCGAACGGGGAGCAGCCCAGAGCCUGAAUCAGUGUGUGUGUUAGUGGAAGCGUCUGGAAAGGCGUGCGAUACAGGGUGACAGCCCCGUACACAAAAAUGCACAUACUGUGAGCUCGAUGAGUAGGGCGGGACACGUGGUAUCCUGUCUGAAUAUGGGGGGACCAUCCUCCAAGGCUAAAUACUCCUGACUGACCGAUAGUGAACCAGUACCGUGAGGGAAAGGCGAAAAGAACCCCGGCGAGGGGAGUGAAAAAGAACCUGAAACCGUGUACGUACAAGCAGUGGGAGCACGCUUAGGCGUGUGACUGCGUACCUUUUGUAUAAUGGGUCAGCGACUUAUAUUCUGUAGCAAGGUUAACCGAAUAGGGGAGCCGAAGGGAAACCGAGUCUUAACUGGGCGUUAAGUUGCAGGGUAUAGACCCGAAACCCGGUGAUCUAGCCAUGGGCAGGUUGAAGGUUGGGUAACACUAACUGGAGGACCGAACCGACUAAUGUUGAAAAAUUAGCGGAUGACUUGUGGCUGGGGGUGAAAGGCCAAUCAAACCGGGAGAUAGCUGGUUCUCCCCGAAAGCUAUUUAGGUAGCGCCUCGUGAAUUCAUCUCCGGGGGUAGAGCACUGUUUCGGCAAGGGGGUCAUCCCGACUUACCAACCCGAUGCAAACUGCGAAUACCGGAGAAUGUUAUCACGGGAGACACACGGCGGGUGCUAACGUCCGUCGUGAAGAGGGAAACAACCCAGACCGCCAGCUAAGGUCCCAAAGUCAUGGUUAAGUGGGAAACGAUGUGGGAAGGCCCAGACAGCCAGGAUGUUGGCUUAGAAGCAGCCAUCAUUUAAAGAAAGCGUAAUAGCUCACUGGUCGAGUCGGCCUGCGCGGAAGAUGUAACGGGGCUAAACCAUGCACCGAAGCUGCGGCAGCGACGCUUAUGCGUUGUUGGGUAGGGGAGCGUUCUGUAAGCCUGUGAAGGUGUGCUGUGAGGUAUGCUGGAGGUAUCAGAAGUGCGAAUGCUGACAUAAGUAACGAUAAAGCGGGUGAAAAGCCCGCUCGCCGGAAGACCAAGGGUUCCUGUCCAACGUUAAUCGGGGCAGGGUGAGUCGACCCCUAAGGCGAGGCCGAAAGGCGUAGUCGAUGGGAAACAGGUUAAUAUUCCUGUACUUGGUGUUACUGCGAAGGGGGGACGGAGAAGGCUAUGUUGGCCGGGCGACGGUUGUCCCGGUUUAAGCGUGUAGGCUGGUUUUCCAGGCAAAUCCGGAAAAUCAAGGCCGAGGCGUGAUGACGAGGCACUACGGUGCUGAAGCAACAAAUGCCCUGCUUCCAGGAAAAGCCUCUAAGCAUCAGGUAACAUCAAAUCGUACCCCAAACCGACACAGGUGGUCAGGUAGAGAAUACCAAGGCGCUUGAGAGAACUCGGGUGAAGGAACUAGGCAAAAUGGUGCCGUAACUUCGGGAGAAGGCACGCUGAUACGUAGGUGAAGCGACUUGCUCGUGGAGCUGAAAUCAGUCGAAGAUACCAGCUGGCUGCAACUGUUUAUUAAAAACACAGCACUGUGCAAACACGAAAGUGGACGUAUACGGUGUGACGCCUGCCCGGUGCCGGAAGGUUAAUUGAUGGGGUUAGCGCAAGCGAAGCUCUUGAUCGAAGCCCCGGUAAACGGCGGCCGUAACUAUAACGGUCCUAAGGUAGCGAAAUUCCUUGUCGGGUAAGUUCCGACCUGCACGAAUGGCGUAAUGAUGGCCAGGCUGUCUCCACCCGAGACUCAGUGAAAUUGAACUCGCUGUGAAGAUGCAGUGUACCCGCGGCAAGACGGAAAGACCCCGUGAACCUUUACUAUAGCUUGACACUGAACAUUGAGCCUUGAUGUGUAGGAUAGGUGGGAGGCUUUGAAGUGUGGACGCCAGUCUGCAUGGAGCCGACCUUGAAAUACCACCCUUUAAUGUUUGAUGUUCUAACGUGGACCCGUGAUCCGGGUUGCGGACAGUGUCUGGUGGGUAGUUUGACUGGGGCGGUCUCCUCCUAAAGAGUAACGGAGGAGCACGAAGGUUGGCUAAUCCUGGUCGGACAUCAGGAGGUUAGUGCAAUGGCAUAAGCCAGCUUGACUGCGAGCGUGACGGCGCGAGCAGGUGCGAAAGCAGGUCAUAGUGAUCCGGUGGUUCUGAAUGGAAGGGCCAUCGCUCAACGGAUAAAAGGUACUCCGGGGAUAACAGGCUGAUACCGCCCAAGAGUUCAUAUCGACGGCGGUGUUUGGCACCUCGAUGUCGGCUCAUCACAUCCUGGGGCUGAAGUAGGUCCCAAGGGUAUGGCUGUUCGCCAUUUAAAGUGGUACGCGAGCUGGGUUUAGAACGUCGUGAGACAGUUCGGUCCCUAUCUGCCGUGGGCGCUGGAGAACUGAGGGGGGCUGCUCCUAGUACGAGAGGACCGGAGUGGACGCAUCACUGGUGUUCGGGUUGUCAUGCCAAUGGCACUGCCCGGUAGCUAAAUGCGGAAGAGAUAAGUGCUGAAAGCAUCUAAGCACGAAACUUGCCCCGAGAUGAGUUCUCCCUGACCCUUUAAGGGUCCUGAAGGAACGUUGAAGACGACGACGUUGAUAGGCCGGGUGUGUAAGCGCAGCGAUGCGUUGAGCUAACCGGUACUAAUGAACCGUGAGGCUUAACCUUACAACGCCGAAG